rnacentral:rRNA from 1 species
GACGAACGCUGGCGGCGUGCUUAACACAUGCAAGUCGAACGGAAAGGCCCUGCUUUUGUGGGGUGCUCGAGUGGCGAACGGGUGAGUAACACGUGAGUAACCUGCCCUUGACUUUGGGAUAACUUCAGGAAACUGGGGCUAAUACCGGAUAGGAGCUCCUGCUGCAUGGUGGGGGUUGGAAAGUUUCGGCGGUUGGGGAUGGACUCGCGGCUUAUCAGCUUGUUGGUGGGGUAGUGGCUUACCAAGGCUUUGACGGGUAGCCGGCCUGAGAGGGUGACCGGCAACAUGGGGACUGAGAUACGGCCCAGACUCCUAAGGGAGGCAGCAGUGGGGAAUAUUGCACAAUGGGCGGAAGCCUGAUGCAGCAACGCCGCGUGCGGGAUGACGGCCUUCGGGUUGUAAACCGCUUUCGCCUGUGACGAAGCGUGAGUGACGGUAAUGGGUAAAGAAGCACCGGCUAACUACGUG